rnacentral:rRNA from 1 species
UACGUGGGGAGCAAGCGUUGUUCGGAUUUACUGGGCGUAAAGGGCGCGUAGGCGGCCCGUCAAGUCACUUGUGAAAUCUCUGGGCUCAACCCAGAACGGUCAAGUGAUACUGUCGUGCUAGAGUGCGGGAGGGGCAACUGGAAUUCUUGGUGUAGCGGUGAAAUGCGUAGAUAUCAGGAGGAACACCGGUGGCGAAGGCGGCUUCCUGGACCGACACUGACGCUGAGGCGCGAAAGCUAGGGGAGCAAACGGG